CGGGACACGUGGUAUCCUGUCUGAAUAUGGGGGGACCAUCCUCCAAGGCUAAAUACUCCUGACUGACCGAUAGUGAACCAGUACCGUGAGGGAAAGGCGAAAAGAACCCCGGCGAGGGGAGUGAAAAAGAACCUGAAACCGUGUACGUACAAGCAGUGGGAGCACGCUUAGGCGUGUGACUGCGUACCUUUUGUAUAAUGGGUCAGCGACUUAUAUUCUGUAGCAAGGUUAACCGAAUAGGGGAGCCGAAGGGAAACCGAGUCUUAACUGGGCGUUAAGUUGCAGGGUAUAGACCCGAAACCCGGUGAUCUAGCCAUGGGCAGGUUGAAGGUUGGGUAACACUAACUGGAGGACCGAACCGACUAAUGUUGAAAAAUUAGCGGAUGACUUGUGGCUGGGGGUGAAAGGCCAAUCAAACCGGGAGAUAGCUGGUUCUCCCCGAAAGCUAUUUAGGUAGCGCCUCGUGAAUUCAUCUCCGGGGGUAGAGCACUGUUUCGGCAAGGGGGUCAUCCCGACUUACCAACCCGAUGCAAACUGCGAAUACCGGAGAAUGUUAUCACGGGAGACACACGGCGGGUGCUAACGUCCGUCGUGAAGAGGGAAACAACCCAGACCGCCAGCUAAGGUCCCAAAGUCAUGGUUAAGUGGGAAACGAUGUGGGAAGGCCCAGACAGCCAGGAUGUUGGCUUAGAAGCAGCCAUCAUUUAAAGAAAGCGUAAUAGCUCACUGGUCGAGUCGGCCUGCGCGGAAGAUGUAACGGGGCUAAACCAUGCACCGAAGCUGCGGCAGCGACGCUGAUGCGUUGUUGGGUAGGGGAGCGUUCUGUAAGCCUGUGAAGGUGUGCUGUGAGGCAUGCUGGAGGUAUCAGAAGUGCGAAUGCUGACAUAAGUAACGAUAAAGCGGGUGAAAAGCCCGCUCGCCGGAAGACCAAGGGUUCCUGUCCAACGUUAAUCGGGGCAGGGUGAGUCGACCCCUAAGGCGAGGCCGAAAGGCGUAGUCGAUGGGAAACAGGUUAAUAUUCCUGUACUUGGUGUUACUGCGAAGGGGGGACGGAGAAGGCUAUGUUGGCCGGGCGACGGUUGUCCCGGUUUAAGCGUGUAGGCUGGUUUUCCAGGCAAAUCCGGAAAAUCAAGGCUGAGGCGUGAUGACGAGGCACUACGGUGCUGAAGCAACAAAUGCCCUGCUUCCAGGAAAAGCCUCUAAGCAUCAGGUAACAUCAAAUCGUACCCCAAACCGACACAGGUGGUCAGGUAGAGAAUACCAAGGCGCUUGAGAGAACUCGGGUGAAGGAACUAGGCAAAAUGGUGCCGUAACUUCGGGAGAAGGCACGCUGAUAUGUAGGUGAAGCGACUUGCUCGUGGAGCUGAAAUCAGUCGAAGAUACCAGCUGGCUGCAACUGUUUAUUAAAAACACAGCACUGUGCAAACACGAAAGUGGACGUAUACGGUGUGACGCCUGCCCGGUGCCGGAAGGUUAAUUGAUGGGGUCAGCGCAAGCGAAGCUCUUGAUCGAAGCCCCGGUAAACGGCGGCCGUAACUAUAACGGUCCUAAGGUAGCGAAAUUCCUUGUCGGGUAAGUUCCGACCUGCACGAAUGGCGUAAUGAUGGCCAGGCUGUCUCCACCCGAGACUCAGUGAAAUUGAACUCGCUGUGAAGAUGCAGUGUACCCGCGGCAAGACGGAAAGACCCCGUGAACCUUUACUAUAGCUUGACACUGAACAUUGAGCCUUGAUGUGUAGGAUAGGUGGGAGGCUUUGAAGUGUGGACGCCAGUCUGCAUGGAGCCGGCCUUGAAAUACCACCCUUUAAUGUUUGAUGUUCUAACGUUGACCCGUGAUCCGGGUUGCGGACAGUGUCUGGUGGGUAGUUUGACUGGGGCGGUCUCCUCCUAAAGAGUAACGGAGGAGCACGAAGGUUGGCUAAUCCUGGUCGGACAUCAGGAGGUUAGUGCAAUGGCAUAAGCCAGCUUGACUGCGAGCGUGACGGCGCGAGCAGGUGCGAAAGCAGGUCAUAGUGAUCCGGUGGUUCUGAAUGGAAGGGCCAUCGCUCAACGGAUAAAAGGUACUCCGGGGAUAACAGGCUGAUACCGCCCAAGAGUUCAUAUCGACGGCGGUGUUUGGCACCUCGAUGUCGGCUCAUCACAUCCUGGGGCUGAAGUAGGUCCCAAGGGUAUGGCUGUUCGCCAUUUAAAGUGGUACGCGAGCUGGGUUUAGAACGUCGUGAGACAGUUCGGUCCCUAUCUGCCGUGGGCGCUGGAGAACUGAGGGGGGCUGCUCCUAGUACGAGAGGACCGGAGUGGACGCAUCACUGGUGUUCGGGUUGUCAUGCCAAUGGCACUGCCCGGUAGCUAAAUGCGGAAGAGAUAAGUGC
rnacentral:rRNA from 1 species